rnacentral:rRNA from 1 species
AUUGAACGCUGGCGGCAGGCCUAACACAUGCAAGUCGAGCGGAGUGGCGGACGGGUGAGUAAUGCAUAGGAAUCUGCCUGGUCGUGGGGGGUAACGACCGGAAACGGGCGCUAAUACAGACUACUAUCAGAUGAGUCUAGGUGGGAUGAGCUAGUUGGUGGGGUAAAGGCCUACCAAGGCGACGAUCCGUCACUGGUCUGAGAGGAUGAUCAGUCACACUGGGACUGAGACACGGCCCAGACUCCUACGGGAGGCAGCAGUGGGGAAUAUUGGGCAAUGGACGAAAGCCUGACGGAGCAACGCCGCGUGAGUGAAGAAGGUUUUCGGGUCGUAAAGCUCUGUUGUUAGAGAAGCGGUACCGAAACAGAAAGCAACGGCUAACUACGUGCCAGCAGCCGCGGUAAUUC